rnacentral:misc_RNA from 1 species
UUAAGUUCAGCGGGUAUCCCUACCUGAUCCGAGGUCAAGAGUGUAAAAAGUACUUUUGGACGUCGUCGUUAUGAGUGCAAAGCGCGAGAUGUACUGCGCUCCGAAAUCAAUACACCGGCUGCCAAUUGCUUUAAGGCGAGUCCACGCGUAUAAGCGGGACAAACACCCAACACAAGCAGAGCUUGAGGGUACAAAUGACG